rnacentral:ncRNA from 1 species
GAUCGUAUAAAAGCGCCUGGACUAAGCUUUGGACGGGAAAAAGCUUAGUUGACGAGGAGGAGGUUUAUCGAGUGUUCGGCGGAUGCCUCCCGGCUGAUGCGAUGACAGCCGCAAGUUCUUUCUUAAAACAAAGAGGCGACUCUUUGCACAAAGGAAAGAGCGUUCAUCGUA